rnacentral:rRNA from 1 species
ACGAACGCUGGCCGCGUGCUUAACACAUGCAAGUCGAACGGAAAGGCCUGCUUUCCCUUGUGGAUUGCGGGUACUCGAGUGGCGAACGGGUGAGUAACACGUGAGUGAUCUGCCCCCAACUUGGGUAUAAGCCUGGGAAACUGGGUCUAAUUCCCGAUAGGACUGCAGGGUGGUGCCUGUGGUGGAAAACGAUUUUCUAGUGGUUGGGGAUGAGCUCGCGGCCUAUCAGCUUGUUGGUGGGGUAAUGGCCUACCAAGGCGGCGACGGGUAGCCGGCCUGAGAGGGUGGACGGCGACAUUGGGACUGGGAUACGGCCCAGACUCCUACGGGAGGCAGCAGUGGGGAAGAAUGCACAAUGGGCGGAAGCCUGAUGCAGCGACGCCGCGUGGGGGAUGACGGCCUUCGGGUUGUAAACUCCUUUCGACCGCGAGGAAGCCACCUGGUUGGAAGGGUGGUGACGGUAGUGGUAGAAGAAGCACCGGCUAACUACGUG